UGAUAUUGGCCACCUGUGAGUGAUGGCUUUAACUCUGAUGGACUUAACUCUAAUGAACUCAUCAAUGUGGCCAAUUUUCCAUAACAUUAGGAAACCCAUUCCCAAUGAAGUUAAUCAGUAUCAAAUCACCUCACAAUAGCCAUGACAUCAGUACCCUGACACAAGGUGCACAGAACCUAAGGAAAUAAUUAUAAAGCUACUCUGAGGGCAAUGAAAGAAGAUCUGAGAGACAUGUGAUCUUAUUAUGUUCGUUGUAAAUACACAGAAUACUGGAAACAACAUAAAGCCAAAUAAAAAAUGAUCAUUUUUAUAAUGUAUGGAAUAACUGUGCAAUUUUUCUAGUACAAUAAAAUAAUUUAAAUCUAUAUUGUAUGAUUGCAUGGCAGUUCACGAUAUAUUAAUAAAAAACAUGGGUUAUGGAAAAAUAUGUGAAUGUGAUUUACUCUGAGAGAAAAUAAGACUCUUUGUAUAUACAUACUGAAAGGUAUAAAAUCAGAAAGACCAUGUACUGAAAUGUGGCAUUAGAUAGAGAUUUCUGACAGUUAAAAGUUAUUUUUGCUUAUGUACCUUCCUUUCCUAAAUUUUUAAACAUAUUGUUUGAGUUAUAAUAAAUGAAAGGGGAAAAAUCAGUGAUAGUGUUAUGGGUGGCUCUGUUUUUUCCCACCUUGUUCUACUUUAAGGUAUGAUUUUCAUGAUGUAUUGAGGGAAAAACAAAAACGUAAGCCAAAAGAAAAAUAAAAUUAAACAAACAUCUAAUUAUACCUGUUAUGGAAUAGAGAUGAUAAAAACAGAAUUUUAAUUUUGGAUAGGACCUCAAAAUACACACUUGAUAAAUAAAUGACUGAUUUGGUUAAAUUAAAGCAUUGUAUGUAGUAGGGGAUUGGUGAGGUGCUUUCACGGUUGUGUUAAUCCUUGU
rnacentral:lncRNA from 1 species